ACCGAAAUAGCUCAGUUGGGAGAGCGUUAGACCAUAGAUCCAAAGGUCCCUGGUUCGAUAACGUGAUUCGCCA
rnacentral:tRNA from 1 species